UACGUAGGGGGCAAGCGUUGUCCGGAUUCAUUGGGCGUAAAGAGCUCGUAGGCGGCUUGGCAAGUCGGGUGUGAAACCUCCAGGCUCAACCUGGAGACGCCACCCGAUACUGCCAUGGCUAGAGUCCGGUAGGGGACCACGGAAUUCCUGGUGUAGCGGUGAAAUGCGCAGAUAUCAGGAGGAACACCGGUGGCGAAGGCGGCUUUCUGGACAGAAACUGACGCUGAGGCGCGAAAGCUAGGGGAGCAAACAGG
rnacentral:rRNA from 1 species